UGGAUCCAGACUUUGAUCAUGGCUCAGGAUGAACGCUAGCUACAGGCUUAACACAUGCAAGUCGAGGGGAAACGAUAUUGGAAGCUUGCUUCCGAUAGGCGUCGACCGGCGCACGGGUGAGUAACGCGUAUCCAACCUGCCCAUCACUUGGGGAUAACCUUGCGAAAGUAAGACUAAUACCCAAUGACGUCUCUAGAAGACAUCUGAAAGAGAUUAAAGAUUUAUCGGUGAUGGAUGGGGAUGCGUCUGAUUAGCUUGUUGGCGGGGUAACGGCCCACCAAGGCAACGAUCAGUAGGGGUUCUGAGAGGAAGGUCCCCCACAUUGGAACUGAGACACGGUCCAAACUCCUACGGGAGGCAGCAGUGAGGAAUAUUGGUCAAUGGACGAGAGUCUGAACCAGCCAAGUAGCGUGCAGGAUGACGGCCCUAUGGGUUGUAAACUGCUUUUAUAAGGGAAUAAAGUGAGUCUCGUGAGACUUUUUGCAUGUACCUUAUGAAUAAGGACCGGCUAAUUCCGUGCCAGCAGCCGCGGUAAUACGGAAGGUCCGGGCGUUAUCCGGAUUUGUUGGGUUUAAAGGGAGCGUAGGCCGGAGAUUAAGCGUGUUGUGAAAUGUAGACGCUCAACGUCUGCACUGCAGCGCGAACUGGUUUCCUUGAGUACGCACAAAGUGGGCGGAAUUCGUGGUGUAGCGGUGAAAUGCUUAGAUAUCACGAAGAACUCCGAUUGCGAAGGCAGCUCACCGGAGCGCAACUGACGCUGAAGCUCGAAAGUGCGGGUAUCGAACAGGAUUAGAUACCCUGGUAGUCCGCACGGUAAACGAUGGAUGCCCGCUGUUGGUCUGAAUAGGUCAGCGGCCAAGCGAAAGCAUUAAGCAUCCCACCUGGGGAGUACGCCGGCAACGGUGCAA
rnacentral:rRNA from 1 species